rnacentral:rRNA from 1 species
UCCAAGGCUAAAUACUCCUGACUGACCGAUAGUGAACCAGUACCGUGAGGGAAAGGCGAAAAGAACCCCGGCGAGGGGAGUGAAAAAGAACCUGAAACCGUGUACGUACAAGCAGUGGGAGCCUCUUAAUGGGGUGACUGCGUACCUUUUGUAUAAUGGGUCAGCGACUUAUAUUCUGUAGCAAGGUUAACCGAAUAGGGGAGCCGAAGGGAAACCGAGUCUUAACUGGGCGUUAAGUUGCAGGGUAUAGACCCG